rnacentral:rRNA from 1 species
AUACGUAGGGGGCAAGCGUUGUCCGGAAUUAUUGGGCGUAAAGGGCGCGUAGGCGGCCCGGUAAGUCUGGAGUGAAAGUCCUGCUUUUAAGGUGGGAAUUGCUUUGGAUACUGUCGGGCUUGAGUGCAGGAGAGGUAAGUGGAAUUCCCAGUGUAGCGGUGAAAUGCGUAGAGAUUGGGAGGAACACCAGUGGCGAAGGCGACUUACUGGACUGUAACUGACGCUGAGGCGCGAAAGUGUGGGGAGCAAACAGGAUUAGAUGCCCUGGUAGUCCACACUGUAAACGAUGAAUGCUAGGUGUAGGGGGUAUCGACCCCUUCUGGGCCGCAGUUAACACAAUAAGUAUUCCACCUGGGGAGUACGGCCGCAAGGUUGAAACUCAAAUGAAUUGGCGGG